AGGGAAUCUUCCACAAUGGACGAAAGUCUGAUGGAGCAACGCCGCGUGAGUGAUGAAGGUUUUCGGAUCGUAAAACUCUGUUGUAAGGGAAGAACCAGUACGUCAGGCAAUGGACGUACCUUGACGGUACCUUAUGAGAAAGCCACGGCUAACUACGUGCCAGCAGCCGCGGUAAUACGUAGGUGGCAAGCGUUGUCCGGAAUUAUUGGGCGUAAAGGAUGCGUAGGCGGAUAUUUAAGUGAGAUGUGAAAUACCCGGGCUCAACUUGGGUGCUGCAUUUCAAACUGGAUAUCUAGAGUGCAGGAGAGGAAAGUGGAAUUCCUAGUGUAGCGGUGAAAUGCGUAGAGAUUAGGAAGAACAUCAGUGGCGAAGGCGACUUUCUGGACUGUAACUGACGCUGAGGCAUGAAAGCGUGGGGAGCAAACA
rnacentral:rRNA from 1 species